GCCAUAGUGGUGGAAUUGGUAGACACGCUAGACUCAAAAUCUGGUGAUAGCAAUAUCGUGUCGGUUCGAGUCCGACCUAUGGUA
rnacentral:tRNA from 1 species